rnacentral:rRNA from 1 species
UGGGCAACCUGCCCUCAGCUCUGGGAUAACUCCAAGAAAUUGGGGCUAAUACCGGAUAUGACCGCUGACCGCAUGGUCUGGUGGUGGAAAGAUUUAUCGGCUGGGGAUGGGCCCGCGGCCUAUCAGCUUGUUGGUGGGGUAGUGGCCUACCAAGGCGACGACGGGUAGCCGGCCUGAGAGGGCGACCGGCCACACUGGGACUGAGACACGGCCCAGACUCCUACGGGA